AUUUUACUUCCUGUAUCCUUUUCAGGUUCUAUGUAUAAUAUUUUCCUUUUGCUAUACCAGUUAUAUUCUUGAACUUAGCAUAUUGUUUUGGUUUAUUAUUCCUGGUAUAUAAAAGUAUGAAUAGUCUCAUCAGUAAUAUAGUUAGAAAUCAUCUCUCAGGAGAGGUGUCUUCAUCAGAUAUAUGCCAGCUUACUGGUUUCAGAAUCAGUUGUCUCCCCAUUUGGGGGAGGAAACACACUAUUUGAGGCCUGUAGCUUAUAUUCCUAAAAAGAAUAUAUGUAUCAUUUGUAUCAAAGCCAAGCUUUGGGGCUGGGGAUGUGGCUCAAGCGGUAGCGCGCUCGCCUGGCAUGCAUGCGGCCCGGGUUCGAUCCUCAGCACCACAUACAAACAAAGGUGUUGUGUCUGCCAAAAACUAAAAAAUAAAUAUUGAAAAAUUCUCUCUCUCUCUCUCUCACUAAAAAAAAAAAAGCCAAGCUUUGAACUUUUAUUUUUUUUGCAGUGCUGAGGAUCGAAUCCAGGGCCUCAUAUAUGCCAGGCAAGCACUCUACCCUGAGUACAACUCCAGCCCUGAACUUUUAUUUUUGAUGCUUAGAUAACAUUAAUUGGCCAAGAUUACCUGUGAAGAGUUAGCAAUGAAAAAACAAAGUACACACAAACACAUUGGAGAAGUUACAACUUUUAAUUGCCUGGUUUCUGAAAUGAUUUAUCCUUGUAUCUAACCAUUAGUACAGUGGGUAUAGAGAACACUUUUUAAAUAUUCAACAUCAACAUCUGUGCUUGUUUUUCUACUAUGCUGAGGUACACUGAAUAUGUUGCCUUGGUGAUGUGAACUAAAUAUGUAUGUUCCCUACCUCCCCUGGGUCUGAGUCCUCAGCUCAUCCAUUUGUUUUAAUCAGGGUUAUCACUCUAAAUGUACAGGCUUUUUCAGCUUCUCAACAUUAGGUCAUGCAUGGAAGCCGAUUCAAAGAGGUUAAACUAGCAGGUAUAUCAGCCUCUUUAGAUACUGUGGUUGAAGGAAACUUGUUUACCCAUAUCCCCAAGAGUAGGAAUACAGGGGAGCCUGUUUUCUCUCAAGCAAUGUGUUUCCAGUUCAUUUUAAGUUUCAAAAUUAAUUUUGUGUCAAACCACUUUACCAGCUAGCCAUGCCUAUGUAUUUUAAUCACUUUUACUUAGCCAAUGUCAAUUCAGCUCAGUGGGUAUUUAUUAUCUACUAGAUUUUAGGUGAUGUGGCACAAAGAUGAAUAAUACACUAGUAGCUGCCCUUAAGAAGCUUCCAGUCUAGUUAGUAAAGAAAAUUUAAGCUGGGCACGGUGGCUGGGAGGUUGAGCAAGUUCAAAGCCAGCCUCAGCAAUUUAGUAAGGCCCUGAGUAACUUAGGGAGACCCUGUCUAAAAAUAAAAAGGGCUGGGGAUGUGGCUCAGUGGUUAAGUGCCGCUGGGUUCAAUCCCUGUUAUCCCCCACCCCCCAAAAAAAAGAAAGAAAGAAAAUUCAUAUUUUAAAAAAAUCUGGGUAAUGGUGGCAGCCUAACACCAGUAUGAAGUCAGUAGGAAUUUAUAAAUGCUUUUACAAUUUCCAUCAUCAAAACUUGCAAAUUACACAUGAACCAAACACAAAAAUAGCCCUUAGGUUGUACUCAAUAUGAGGCUAAAAAGUCCGCAUAUUUUGUAGUUGCAACAAUUCAUUGUUCCAGUUCUGAUGGUUGUCCCAUUGUCCAUUGGAAUAGAGGCCUGACCAGUCCUCUCUGGCAGACUGUUGACAGUGGUUUGGUGGCAUUCUGUUGGCAGCUGCAUUUUUUUCUUUCAUUUUCUCUCUUGUCUUUUUGUGUUUUCUGGACCCGAAACAAAAGCAGCUGGGUUUAUCCCAGGGAUAAUUGUGAACAUUUCCAAUUUGAGGACUUGAUAUUCCCCAAACAGAAGUUCAUAUGGCGUUUAUCAAACAAUGAUUACAUCCAGCCAAGUUCCCUCUCUCUAUACAAAUCAGCAACUGUGGAUACAUUAUUUCUAAGUACAGUACUUCAGAAGAAGACAUAACAAUGGCAAUUCACUAAAUUUGCUGAGGUAUUUCAUUAUAAUUCACUUGUUGUUGUUCAUGAAAAUAUUUAUGUAGCAAGUAUAUAUUAAUGGAAAUGACUGUAUGCCCAAACAAAAUGUGGUAAAUAUUUUAACUUUGUUUAUCUAGGUUCCUUAAUUUUGAGAAUAUAUCUCAAGCUCUUCAAGAAACUCAAAAUGAUUCCAAUAUCUAAAGGAGUAUCCACUAAAACAGAUUUGUAAUGAAAGAAAAGCAGUGAAAAUGUAUGCAUCCUAUGUCGAUAUAACCAUCACAUCUGAGGUCUCAAGCAAUCAGAAACUUACUCAAGUUAUUCAAUAACUAUAAGAAUUAGGCAGUUAGAAUAUUUUGGAAGCCCUAUAGAACACUUAUGUUUGGUAUGUUACUAGUCGUCUCAAGGCAGUAAAGAUUAGACUAAAUAUAAUUAUACUCUUAAUAUCAGUCUUUAAGCAGCAGUUCCUAAAGAAACCAUACCUGUCAACAUUGAGACUGAUGCAUGUAAAUGUAUUCUAUUUUUUGUAUGUAUUUUAUACAUUGUAUGUAUACUUUUAAUGGCAGGUAAAAUAAUGAGUUGAAAGACCAGCGAUGGGCUGGGGAUGUGGCUCAAGCGGUAGCGCGCUCGCCUGGCAUGUGUGCGGCCCGGGUUCGACCCUCAGCACCACAUACAAAC
rnacentral:lncRNA from 1 species